UUUCCGUAGGUGAGCCUGCGGAAGGAUCAUUAUUGUAUAACCGAGGUGCGAGGGCUGUCGCUGACCCGAAAGGUCGUGCACGCCCGAGUGCCCUCACACACAUCCACCUCACCCCUAUGUGCACCACCGCGUGGGUCCCCCUUUGGCUUGUUCGGAGGGGGGCUUACGUUUUCACACAAACUUUGUAUGCAGUGUAGAAUGUAUUUUUUGUUUUUGCGAUCACGCAAUCAAUACAACUUUCAACAACGGAUCUCUUGGCUCUC
rnacentral:misc_RNA from 1 species